rnacentral:tRNA from 1 species
UGGCGGAGGAAGAGGGAUUCGAACCCUCGCAUCUUUUUAGAUCUACACGCUUUCCAAGCGUGCCUCUUCGUCCACUUGAGUAUUCCUCC